GAAGACGGGGACUGCUGCAGGACUGUCGUCCCCGGCCUUUAACUUGUCGCCCUUCUCUCAGCUUUGGUGCCAGGAGCAUACGCCAGUUGUGACAACCAAAAAUGUCUCCAGACAUUGCCAAAUGUCCCCUCCCCAGGGAGUGUGCUACUUACCCCCAGCUGAGAACCGCAGCGGUAAGGAUACUACCUAGAAAUUGCCCACCACACUGCUCACAUCCCACUGAUGGCCAGAACUGCAUCACUCGGUCACUCUAAAGGCUGCAAAGAUAACCUGUGUGCGCGUAAUACGAGAAACAAAACACAAGAAGAAAACAAAGAACAAAAACACGCAUCUUGGAAGAGCCAGGCACUUGAGCGCAAAGGAAAACAAGAAUCACUUGCAACGUU